ensembl:lncRNA
AUUUAAAAUAAGAACACACGCUUUCAUACAUUUAUGCCUUCAUAAUCAUGUGAUUCAUAGACACUACUGAAUAUUAAUUCAGUCACGGAAAUUAAAAGGAAAUGCAAUAACAAGGAGGUGCAAAUUAGUCUGUGGUCAGGCAGUGGUAAUCAGUGGUAAUCAGUGGUCAGGCAGUGGUCAGGCAGUGGUAGUCAGUGGUCAGGCAGUGGUAGUCGGUGGUCAGGCAGUGGUAGUCGGUGGUCAGGCAGUGGUAAUCAGUGGUAAUCAGUGGUCAGGCAGUGGUAGUCAGUCAGUGGUCAGUCAGUCAGUUGUCAGUCAGUCAGUUGUAGUCAGUGGUCAGUCAGUCAGUCAGUCAGUCAUAGUCAGUCAGUCAGUCAGUCA